CCUACGGGUGGCAGCAGUGGGGAAUAUUGGGCAAUGGGCGCGAGCCUGACCCAGCCACGCAGCGUGAAGGAAGAAGGCUUUCGGGUUUGAAACUUCUUUUCUCAGGGACGAAACAAGUGACAGUACCUGAGGAAUAAGCCACGGCUAACUACGUGCCAGCAGCCACGGUACUACGGAGGGGGCAAGCGUUAUCCGGAUUUACUGGGUGUAAAGGGCGUGUAGGCGGGACUGGAAGUCAGAUGUGAAAACCAUGGGCUCAACCUAUGGCCUGCAUUUGAAACUGUACUUCUUGAGUACUGGAGAGGUAGACGGAAUUCCUAGUGUAGCGGUGAAAUGCGUAGAUAUUAGGAGGAACACCAGUGGCGAAGGCGGCCUGCUGGACAGCAACUGACGCUGAGGCUCGAAAGCGUGGGGAGCAAACAGGAUUAGAUACCCCAGUAGUC
rnacentral:rRNA from 1 species